rnacentral:lncRNA from 1 species
GUGAAUUCAUUCAGGAAAGAGGUUAAAUUUGUUCAUUUUGCCGCCUAGUAGUAGGAACAAAAAAGCAGCACAGCAGGUGAAAUGUGUUGCCGGAUGCAUCCCCUCUUUGUUGGCUUGGAGCUGCAUCUAUCACCAACCCAUGUUCUCUUCACUUCUCACCUGUCAUCUCUUUGGAGACACAGCUCGGCCGAUGGGAUCCAGCCGCUGCAGG